rnacentral:rRNA from 1 species
UACGUAGGGGGCAAGCGUUGUCCGGAAUCAUUGGGCGUAAGGAGCGUGUAGGCGGCUCGGUAAGUCCGCUGUAAAAGUCCAGGGCUCAACCCUGGAAAGCCGGUGGAAACUGUCGAGCUAGAGUCCGGAAGAGGCGAGUGGAAUUCCUGGUGUAGCGGUGAAAUGCGCAGAUAUCAGGAGGAACACCAAUGGCGAAGGCAGCUCGCUGGGACGGUACUGACGCUGAGACGCGAAAGCGUGGGUAGCAAACAGG